GACGAACUCUGGCGGCGUGCUUAACACAUGCAAGUCGAACGGAAAGGCCCUGCUUUUGUGGGGUGCUCGAGUGGCGAACGGGUGAGUAACACGUGAGUAACCUGCCCUUGACUUUGGGAUAACUUCAGGAAACUGGGGCUAAUACCGGAUAGGAGCUCCUGCUGCAUGGUGGGGGUUGGAAAGUUUCGGCGGUUGGGGAUGGACUCACGGCUUAUCAGCUUGUUGGUGGGGUAGUGGCUUACCAAGGCUUUGACGGGUAGCCGGCCUGAGAGGGUGACCGGCCACAUUGGGACUGAGAUACGGCCCAGACUCCUACGGGAGGCAGCAGUGGGGAAUAUUGCACAAUGGGCGGAAGCCUGAUGCAGCAACGCCGCGUGCGGGAUGACGGCCUUCGGGUUGUAAACCGCUUUCGCCUGUGACGAAGCGUGAGUGACGGUAAUGGGUAAAGAAGCACCGGCUAACUACGUGCCAGCAGCCGCGGUGAUACGUAGGGUGCGAGCGUUGUCCGGAUUUAUUGGGCGUAAAGGGCUCGUAGGUGGUUGAUCGCGUCGGAAGUGUAAUCUUGGGGCUUAACCCUGAGCGUGCUUUCGAUACGGGUUGACUUG
rnacentral:rRNA from 1 species